AUUUUAAUGGAUUUUUUUUUUUUUUUGGUAAACAUUUUUUUUUUUUUACAAUGACAUACUGUAGGUACUGUCAUACGACCCAGCAUUCCAUUAGUUCCUCAGUGUCAGGCAUAACAUAAGCAAGGGAUCCUUCCUAUUCAUUCUCCAGUUGCCAUUCCAUGCUUUUGAUAGCCCUUAGCUUCAGUGAUCAUCAGAUCACCGACUUUCAACAGUGACCGGCAAGUUUCCAGUUCCCAGCCUUCACUGCUACUUGCAAAUUCCCAGUACUCAGCUUUCACCACAUUUUGUUCUUCCAACGCAUGUUGGGCUAAGUCCCUCACUUGCACAGUCUGUGGUCCAAGUAGACAAACAAGCUAAGGGCAGCAACGAGAACAGAAGUGCAAAGUGCCAGAGUCUUUACCAUUCCAGUGUUGAUCACAUAUCUGUGUGCCCACUGAGAGCAGCCUUGAGGAAAAGGACUUGGAGGUGCUGGUGGAUGAAAAGCUCAACACAAACCAGUAGUGUGUUCUUGUAGCCUGGAAAGCCAACAGUAUCCUGGGCUGUGUCAAAAUAGGGGUGGCCAGCAGGGAGAGGGAGGUGAUUGUCCUCCUCUGUUCCGUCCUCAUGAGGACUCAUCUGGAGUACUGCAUCCAGGUCUGGGGCCUCCAGCACAGAAGAGAUGUGGAGCUGUUGGAGCAGGCCCAGAGGUGGGGGCCUCCAGCACAGAAGAGAUGUGGAGCUGUUGGAGCGGGCCCAGAGGUGAGCCAUGAAGAUUAUCAGAGGAUUGGAGCACUUUUCUGGUGAAGAAAGAAUAAGGUAUAGUAGCUUGUUCAGUUUGGAGAAGAAAGCUCCAGGAAGUCCUCAUUGUGGCCUUCCAGUACUUAAAGGGAGCUUAUGAACAGGAGGGGGAUCAACUUUUUACACAGUCUGACAAUGAUAGGACAAGAGGAAGCAGUUUUAAACUAAAAGAUGAAGAUUUAGGUUAGGUUAUAUGUUUCUUAGAGGGUGGUAAGGCAGUGGCACAGGCUGCCCAGCAAAGCUG
ensembl:lncRNA